GGGUGGGAGAGGAGCUGACAGGAGACGGCUGCGAUUCCGGCUGGCGGCUCACAGCAAGCGGUGCUGAAGGGUAAAGCCUCCUGCUUCUUGUUUUUAAACACGGAACGGGUGUGUCUGCAGGGUUAAUGUUUUCUGGCACCACACAGGGAGGCUCAAGACUGGCCAGCUGAAAUAAAGAUACUCGAGGGCUUCAUCCACGUAGGACAGCUUCCCUUUGUGUUUAGUCCAUACUUUAAGAAAAUUCUGAUGAUCACCAUCAUCCCAACCUCCUUGCCUCCCCCCUGUUUGCUGCAGAAAUCUUUCAAACUCUACAACUUCUGCAGAUUCCUGGAAGAGCAAACAAACCACAGAAGCAUCCGAAGACUGUAAGAGAAUCAUAAGCAAUAUUCAAAGGAACCUGUCUAUGAAGGAAAAUGUUUUAAAAUCUGUUUGCAUAACUUACAUUCUGAUGUAUGUUUCACAUCUUCCAGUUGUUGCUGAAGUCUCUUCACUUUAUUACGUAUUUUUGUUAGCUGCUGCAGGAUUUUAGUUUCUGUUAAACAAAAUAAAGUGCUGGU